UACGGAGGGUGCAAGCGUUAUUCGGAAUUACUGGGCGUAAAGGGUGCGUAGGCGGGGAUGGAAGUCAGACGUGAAAUUCCGAAGCUCAACUUCGGGGCGGCAUCUGAAACUGCAUUUCUAGAGGAAGAGCGGAGAAAACGGAAUUCCAUGUGUAGCGGUGAAAUGCGUAGAUAUAUGGAAGAACACCUGUGGCGAAAGCGGUUUUCUAGCUUACUCCUGCCGCUGAGGCACGAAAGCAAGGGGAGCAAACAGG
rnacentral:rRNA from 1 species